UAGGGAAUCUUCCACAAUGGGCGCAAGCCUGAUGGAGCAACACCGCGUGAGUGAAGAAGGGUUUCGGCUCGUAAAGCUCUGUUGUUAAAGAAGAACACGUAUGAGAGUAACUGUUCAUACGUUGACGGUAUUUAACCAGAAAGUCACGGCUAACUACGUGCCAGCAGCCGCGGUAAUACGUAGGUGGCAAGCGUUAUCCGGAUUUAUUGGGCGUAAAGAGAGUGCAGGCGGUUUUCUAAGUCUGAUGUGAAAGCCUUCGGCUUAACCGGAGAAGUGCAUCGGAAACUGGAUAACUUGAGUGCAGAAGAGGGUAGUGGAACUCCAUGUGUAGCGGUGGAAUGCGUAGAUAUAUGGAAGAACACCAGUGGCGAAGGCGGCUACCUGGUCUGCAACUGACGCUGAGACUCGAAAGCAUGGGUAGCGAACAGGAUUAGAUACCCUGGUAGUCCAUGCCGUAAACGAUGGGUACUAGGUGUAGGAGGUAUCGACCCCUUCUGUGCCGGAGUUAACGCAAUAAGUACCCCGCCUGGGGAGUACGACCGCAAGGUU
rnacentral:rRNA from 1 species